CUUCUGCUCUCCUCAGCCGCUGAGGCUGGCGCCGCUAUUUCGUCAUAUUAAGGAGCGGGAAGGUACCGCCUUUCCGGCGCGCAGCGAUGACGUAAACGUACCAGCCAAGGGGCACGAACGGCAAAGUAUUAAAGGGCCAUGGCUGUUUGUAGGUAGUGGCUCUGGAGGCGCUCAUGGUUUUUUCGGCUUAGAGAACCUUUAGGGCUGCUCCCGGCUGAUUGCGUGCACUCUGGAGCGGACAGACCAGAGCCUCGCUGGCGCUUGGAGGGCCGCGGGGACGACUCGCGGGCCGGCGCGGCGGGAGUUAGCUUGGUGGCCCACCCUUCUCCUGCGCCGGCUCAGUGGCCCCGCGGCUCCGAGCCUGAGGUUGUCCCGCAGCGGGCGAGGCGGGCGAGGCGGGGCGCGCCGCGCUGCGGCCUUAGGAGUGGCUUCGCCUUCUCCCUUCGAGCCUGACAAACCGUCGUUAUUCUGGGAUUAUUUGCUCAAGAAACGGAGGUGUGCUCUUGCCCUGGGGUUGUCUGAACAAGUCUGUAGCAGCAAGGGAAAAGGCACAUCCAAGUCCGUCUCCUGGAGGAAGGAACCAGGGUGACAGAGAUGGACAGGUGGAGAGAACUGCGUGCAGUGUGGUGACCUGAAGGAAUGCAAGGACGGGGUUGGUCUGCAGUGGUUUUUUCUGCUUGUGCCUGCUGACUCCCAGAGUGCAUCCCUCUGACCCUGCAUAAAGGUGUCAAGUUGGGGUCCUUGCCCUUCAGCCUGGGCUGAGGGGUUCCCAAGGAGUUGGGAACAAAACAGCUGUGGAGAGGAGAGAGGAGUCCUUUUUAUUGAGGCACCAGUUGGUUCCUAGGGAUAGGUUGGCAGGCCUAGUCAGUCUGGUCUGGGUAUCCCUUCUUGGAUUUAGACUUGACAUGACAGGCUGGGGUUGUGGCUCAGAGGUAGAACGCUCGCCUAGCAAGUGCGAGGCCCUGGGUUCCAUUCUCAGCACCACAUAAAAAUUAAUAAAUAAAGAUAUUGUGUCCA
rnacentral:lncRNA from 1 species